AUUGAACGCUGGCGGCAGGCCUAACACAUGCAAGUCGAGCGGAUGAAGGGAGCUUGCUCCUGGAUUCAGCGGCGGACGGGUGAGUAAUGCCUAGGAAUCUGCCUGGUAGUGGGGGAUAACGUCCGGAAACGGGCGCUAAUACCGCAUACGUCCUGAGGGAGAAAGUGGGGGAUCUUCGGACCUCACGCUAUCAGAUGAGCCUAGGUCGGAUUAGCUAGUUGGUGGGGUAAAGGCCUACCAAGGCGACGAUCCGUAACUCGUCUGAGAGGAUGAUCAGUCACACUGGAACUGAGACACGGUCCAGACUCCUACGGGAGGCAGCAGUGGGGAAUAUUGGACAAUGGGCGAAAGCCUGAUCCAGCCAUGCCGCGUGUGUGAAGAAGGUCUUCGGAUUGUAAAGCACUUUAAGUUGGAAGGAAGGGCAGUAAGUUAAUACCUUGCUGUUUUGACGUUACCAACAGAAUAAGCACCGGCUAACUUCGUG
rnacentral:rRNA from 1 species